GGACACUGUAUUAUUCCUGGAUAAAUGAAAACAAAAAUAUUUUUUACAGUUCUCCAUGAAGACAGUGAUAGAAUUUUGCACAUGACAGUGUUUAUAUUUGUUCUUCUUUGGACAUCCACAAAGUGAGAUAUGUGGUCUCUGACAAGCUGGGAAGAUGCCAAGACAGAUUUCCUGUCUGUUCUCCAGUUAUACCAGUUCCCAGUUCCCACUAGAGCUCAGAGUCCCAACUGCUGGCUUCUGAGGGUGUUACAGACUGGGUCCUGAGUCUCCCAACUUCCUCGUUGAAAUUGUGCCCUGGGCCCUGAAUCAGACCUAAUUUUCUUGCACUGAGCAUCAUCAGCAAGCACCAGGCCUGUAUGGAAUGCUGUUAUGUGAUACCUCCUUGGAUUAUCAUAGCAGUUGUAAGAGAAGAGUACACGACGAGGAGAUUGAAAGUCAGAAAUAGUUUGGAAUUUCACCUGACAUCCCGGGACUUGUGAAGAGCUAGAUCUUAAUGCUUUCUAGCCAUCAAGUUGCAGAUGCUACCCUGAAGCCAACCUGACUUCCAUGAUAAAACCUGAUUUCCCUCACCAACGUGCUCUGGAACCUCCCCUCCACAGAGCCCUGCCCCACUAGGGAAAGACAGAAACAGGCUGGAGGUAUGGAUCUACCUGCCAACACCCAUGUCCAGUGGAGAAGCAAUGACAGAUGCCAAAACU